CCUACGGGAGGCAGCAGUGAGGAAUAUUGGUCAAUGGGCGGGAGCCUGAACCAGCCAAGCCGCGUGAGGGAAGAAGGUACAGCGUAUCGUAAACCUCUUUUGUCAGGGAACAAAGGCGGGGACUAGUCCCCGGAUGAGGGUACCUGAAGAAAAAGCAUCGGCUAACUCCGUGCCAGCAGCCGCGGUAAUACGGAGGAUGCGAGCGUUAUCCGGAUUUAUGGGGGUUAAAGGGUGCGCAGGCGGCCUGUUAAGUCAGCGGUAAAAGCCCGGGGCUCAACCCCGGCGAGCCGUUGAAACUGGCGGGCUGGAGUUGGAGAGAAGUACGCGGAAUGCGCGGUGUAGCGGUGAAAUGCUUAGAUAUCGCGCAGAACCCCGAUUGCGAAGGCAGCGUACCGGCUCCACACUGACGCUGAGGCACGAAAGCGUGGGUAUCGAACAGGAUUAGAUACCCCAGUAGUC
rnacentral:rRNA from 1 species